rnacentral:rRNA from 1 species
UACGUAGGGACCAAGCGUUGUUCGGAUUUACUGGGCGUAAAGGGCGCGUAGGCGGCGUGGUAAGUCAGUUGUGAAAUCUCCGAGCUUAACUCGGAACGGCCAACUGAUACUGCUGUGCUAGAGUGCAGAAGGGGCAAUCAGAAUUCUUGGUGUAGCGGUGAAAUGCGUAGAUAUCUGGAGGAACACCGGUGGCGAAGGCGGCAUCCUGGACCGGUAUUGACGCUGAGGCGCGAAAGCCAGGGGAGCAAACGGG